GACGAACGCUGGCGGCGUGCUUAACACAUGCAAGUCGAACGGUAAGGCCCUUCGGGGUACACGAGUGGCGAACGGGUGAGUAACACGUGGGUGAUCUGCCCUGCACUUCGGGAUAAGCCUGGGAAACUGGGUCUAAUACCGGAUAGGACUCCUGCCUGCAUGGGUGGGGGUGGAAAGCUUUUGUGGUGUGGGAUGGGCCCGCGGCCUAUCAGCUUGUUGGUGGGGGGAUGGCCUACCAAGGCGACGACGGGUAGCCGGCCGGGGAGGGUGACCGGCCAAACUGGGACUGAGAUACGGCCCAGACUCCUACGGGAGGCAGCGGGGGGGUAUAUUGCACAAUGGGCGCAAGCCUGAUGCAGCGACGCCGCGUGAGGGAUGACGGCCUUCGGGUUGUAAACCUCUUUCAGCACAGACGAAGCGCAAGUGACGGUAUGUGCAGAAGAAGGACCGGCCAACUACGUGCCAGCCGCCGCCGUAA
rnacentral:rRNA from 1 species